rnacentral:rRNA from 1 species
CACGUAGGGGGCGAGCGUUGUCCGGAUUUAUUGGGCGUAAAGAGCGCGCAGGCGGUCGGAUAAGUCGAAUGUGAAAGCCCCUGGCUCAACCAGGGAGGGUCAUUCGAUACUGUUCGACUCGAAGGCAGGAGAGGGAAGUGGAAUUCCGGGUGUAGUGGUGAAAUGCGUAGAUAUCCGGAGGAACACCAGUGGCGAAGGCGACUUUCUGGCCUGUUCUUGACGCUGAGGCGCGAAAGCUAGGGGAGCAAACGGG